CGUAACACGUGGGUAAUCUGCCCUUCGAUGGGGAAUAACCUCGCGAAAGCGAGGCUAAUUCCGCAUAACAUUCCGAUGGUUCCGAUCAAUGGACUCAAAGCCGUAAGGCGUCGGAGGAGGAGCCCGCGCACGAUUAGCUAGUUGGUGAGGUAACGGCUCACCAAGGCUUUGAUCGUUAGCUGGUCUGAGAGGAUGGCCAGCCACACUGGAACUGAGACACGGUCCAG
rnacentral:rRNA from 1 species